GCGGGCGUGGCGAAACUGGUAAACGCAAAGGACUUAAAAUCCUUCGCCUUCAAUGGCUUGCGGGUUCAAGCCCCGCCGCCCGCACCA
rnacentral:tRNA from 1 species